UACGAAGGGUGCAAGCGUUACUCGGAAUUACUGGGCGUAAAGCGUGCGUAGGCGGUUUGUUAAGUCCGCUGUGAAAGCCCUGGGCUCAACCUGGGAAUUGCAGUGGAUACUGGCAAGCUAGAGUGCGGUAGAGGAUGGUGGAAUUCCCGGUGUAGCGGUGAAAUGCGUAGAGAUCGGGAGGAACACCGGUGGCGAAGGCGGCGUUCUGGACUGUAACUGACACUGAGGAACGAAAGCCAGGGGAGCAAACGGG
rnacentral:rRNA from 1 species